rnacentral:tRNA from 1 species
GCGGGAGUAGCUCAGUGGCAGAGCCCCAGCCUUCCAAGCUGGUUACGCGGGUUCGAUUCCCGUCUCCCGCUCCA